CUUUUCUUUAAGUAGGCCUCAUGCCCAGCACAGAGCCCAACAUGGGGCUUGAACUCAUGACCCUGAGAUCAAGAUCUGAGCUGAGAUCAAGAGUCAGAUGUUUAAUUGAGCCACCCAGGUGCCUUUAGAUAACCUGUCAUCUCUUAAUCUUCGUGUUUUUGAAAAUAUAGCUAGACAUAUAUGCAUUCAUAAUUCUUUCCUUUUUUACACUAGUAAAAAUACCAUGUUAAAAAUACUUAUGCUUGGGGUGGUUAAGUGUCCAAUUCUUGAUUUUGGCUCACAGUUCCCAUGAGUUUGAGCCCCACAGCAGGCUCUGCGCUGACAGCACGGAUCCUGCUUGGGAUUCUCUCUCCCCUACCUCUCUCUGCCCUUCCCCUGCUAGCACGGUCUCUCACUCUCUCUCAAAACCAAUAAAACAUUAAAAAAUAACCACAUGAUUGAUUUUUCAAAAAACUUCUAUUUUACAAAAUAAGUUACCCCUCAUUCUUCAGUUUUUUUAUAGCUUCAUAAUAACCCAUUGUUUCAGGAGGCUGUGCCUCAUUACCAGUCCCCUCAUGAUGGAUGUUUAGGCUAUCAAUCUUUUUUUGGUACAAAUAAUGCUGCAGUGCAGGUGCCUUGUGCCUGUCACUUUCUGUUUUCGCUGACCUCUCUUUGGGAUAGAUUCCUAGAAGUGGAAUUGCUGGGUCAAAUACCUAGCAUAUGUAAUUUGCCAAAUUUCCCUUCUCAGGGAUAGGUAGCAUCGUGUGUGUCACCUCAUAGUCUUAUCUACAAAGCCUCAAAUAUUUACUAUUUACAGAAAAGGGUUGCCAACCCCCUUAUUGCAAUCCUUAAGGUCUGGCCAGCCAGCAGAGAGCCCAUGGGGGGAGGUCGUGGAGGUAGUUUUCAAUGGGCCAGGGUAGCAGUGGCCCAGAUCUCGUGCUCAGUCAUGUGUCCACACAGUCUGCCAGGGAAGGGUGACUAGGAGACAGUGGGGUUGGGUGCCUACAAAGAGGAAACCAUGGAUUUUGGUUCUGCAGCCAGCACCUUGUCACAGUUAUCAAUUUUGUCCUGUUUAUGACACUUUGAUGCCCCCCAACACACACACCCUUUCCUCAUAUAUAUAUAUUUCAUACAUUUUUGGUCUUUGUUAACGUAAGUUUUGGGAUUUUAUUAUUACUGUAUUUUGCUGCCUCUUCAAGGGUAAUGUUGAUACUGAAAUUGUUUUAAACUUAGUUAUAAUUGUAGAUUUGCAACAAUUUAAGCAUUUCUAGUUUAAUUGGUUUCGAUGCUUUUAGUCUUUUUUAAACAUGGGUUUUAUUUGGCUUUAGUUGGAAACCUUUUCACAUAUUUUUAAAGACAUAGGAAUAUUAUCUGAGCCCCUGCAAACAGAACUUUUUUGAAGUUUUCACACUUGAAAGAUGACUGGGUAUUCAAAUUCUCGAGUCACGGCCCUUUUUCUUCUGAAAACGUGCUUUCUGGCACUCUGUAGUGGAGCAGAGAGAGCUGAAACUAGCUUCAUUUUUGCUUGUUAUUUUGUUUUGUAAAUCAUUCUUUUGGGGUCUGUAUCCUAUUAGAAUUUUAGUACUAUCCAAAAAUAUAUGCCAGAAUCUAUCUAGGUCCAAAUCUCUUUGUCUGGUUGUAUAAAGAUACUGCUUUGUUGCUAUAACAAAGAUCAUAAAAUAGCAGUGGCUUAAAAACCAGUUUUCUCUCUCAGGUACCGAUUUGAGCCUAAGCCCUCCAGUCUGAUGUAGCAGCAUCAUAAUGUCAAGAGCUUUCCUUCACACUUGGCUGCCACUUUGCAUUUUAAGGUGGCCUUUCCUACUCCAUCCCUGCUCUCACCUCCACAUCUGCAUUCCGCCCCACGGGAAGUGGAAAGUGGUGGGUACAUCCUGGAGAUGGCAGGUAUGCAUUGUUUUUCUCUUUUAAGAAAGUGGUUCCAUGAAAACCAGACCAUGGCAUGCAUUGAAGGUUGUACGUAUAAGCUAUAAGGAACCACUAUAGUUCUGUAGAGCUUAUAAUUAUUGUCAGUUUCCCUUUGCUUUUUGUUUAGUUGGUUUUCUGUUUUUGGUGCUCUUUUCAUCAUUUUUGAUAUUUAACCGAUUGAGCCACCCAGGCACCCGAUCAUUUUGUUCAAUAUUUAACAAGAAACCAUGAGAAGAAACAUUGAUGGCUGGUAACCAGUAGGCUUUUUUUUUUUUUUUUUUUUUAAUGUUUAUUUUUGAGAGAGAGAAAGAGAGACAGAGUGUGAUGGGGAGGAGCAGAGAGAGAAGGAGACACCGAAUCCGAAGCAGGCUCCAGGCUCUGAACUGUCAGCCGAGCCUGAUGCAGAGCUCAAACUCAAGGUGGGCAGGUUUGGGAAAGAGCCAGAAGACAGAAUCUGCAGGAUGGAAAGUUUGAAAAGUGAGGGAAGAGUGUAGGACUCCAGACCCUGCAGGCCUCUGAAUGUGAAUUUAGAGAAGAUGACAGUCUGCUAAGUAGGUAUACACUGGGUAGAGCUCUAUUCCCUAGUGUUUUCCUGCUGUUCUGUGUGGGUUUAAAGGGGGCAGGAGGCAGCUGCCUCCUCUUCAGGGAGGACCUUCACUUCCCAGCAUGUAGCUGAGAUGUCCUAUUUCUAGGCACAGAACCCUGGUGUUUUUGGUGGCCUGGCCCAGUACCACGGAUUCGGGGCCCUCGGCUCUGGAAGAAUGUCCUUCCAGAGCCAGUGGGGGUCUCAAGGAAAUCGGGUCAGGCCGGGGCAGGGAAUGGGCCCAGGAGAUGAAGCCAGCUCAGAGCAAACUUACGGUUUUGCCGCCCUUGCCGAUCACCCGGCCAGCUGUAGAAGAGGGCACUCUGAUGUGCGCUUCCAGCUUCACCUCUUCUUUGGGGUUAAAGAAGUUUUCUUCCUUCAGUUUCCCAAAGAUCCGCCCCUGGGCCUGAGAGAGCAAGGCGUGACCGCUUCGCCGUGCUGCUGCCAGAACCGGCCGGGGAGCCCAGGCCUGCACACCCCCAGCCCCGAAUUCACUGGGGCCACCACGGGGGAGCUGCGUACCCUGCUUCCCUCCUUCAGAGACCUGGCUGUUCCUGCCACACUCAAGGAACAUACCUGACCGCUGCCUCUUGGAAGCUUGUGUGUGGGGCCGAGGGUGGUGGUGAUGGGGCAGAACUAGGUCUUAGUUCCCUUAUCUACAGCACCUACAAACGCCUGGCUGAAUGAACCUGUCCAGGGGACUCUUAACUUCCUCCCAUCAUGGUAUGUUUAGACCCCGGGUUACAAAAGGAUGGAGGCGAGGUAGGUGGUGACUGGGGAUGCUUUCUGAUGUCUUAACUCCAGCCAGGGAAGUUGAGACGUUACGGUUUAAGACAAAAAAAGGCAAAAAAACUUUAACAAUUGAGAUAUAAUUCUUACAGCUUAAAAUUCAUCAUUUUGAAGUAUACAGUCCAGGAGUUUUCUGUGUAUUCACUACAUUAAGCAGCCAGUACCACUAUUCAGGACAUCUCCAUCCCAGUCCCCCGGAGCAAAACUCCAUACCUAGCAGGCAGUCCCCAUUCGUCCCUUCCCCAACCCCUACUUUCUGUCUCUGGAUUUACCUUUGCUGGACAUUUCAUAUAAAGGGACUCUCAUAAUAUGCGGCCUUUUGUGUCUGUCUUCUUUCACUUCAUGCAGUGUUUUCUAGGUUUAUCCAUGCUGUAGCAUGCAUCAGAAUUUUGCUCCUUUUUAUGGCUGACUAAUUUCCUACUGAGUGCAUAGAUCACAUUUUGUUUAUCCACUCAUGAGCUGAAGGGCUAUUAUUCUUAAAUGUUUUCACAUGUGUUAAUGUUUUCUCAAAUUUUCAGUAUUUUUAAUGAUAAGGACUAUACUUUUAUAAAUAUGUUUCUUUUAGAAAACUCAAUUUAUAAUUUUCCCAGGGGAGAAAAAAGGGCAAAAACAAAAUGCAUCUGACCAAACUCCCAACAAGCUACUGGUCUUUCCCCUUACACCCUAUGGUUAUGUCCCCACAGCUUGAAGGGUAUAAAAUACUAAAGGAGUCUGAGACACUUAUCCUCAAAACUGUGGCUAAGGGGUCAGAGAUAGCCCAGAGGAGUGUCAUUUGAACUAGGCACUGACAAUCUACAUUUCCAUGAGAGAGAAGGGAAGGAGUGCUCCAGGAAGCAGAGCUCCAGGGAACAACCUGGAGGUAGGCAAGACAGCAUGAGUCUGAGACUAGUGAGCAGCAGCAGGAAGAAAAAUCGAGGCUGGGCCUCUCAAAGAAGUCUUGAACAUGCCUCUGAGAUGGCCGCCACCUGCUAAAGGCCCUUAGCUACUGCAGGGCUGAGGUGGCCCCUGGCACUGACCUUGAACUGGGCUUCAGGUGGGCCGGUGAUGAUGACCAUUCUUUCGCUGACAUCUGGGCCUUCUGCCGGGGCAAUCUGCAGUUUACAAGGCAAGAGGAAAAUGCUGCUGCCGGGCUGUGGUCCCCAGUCCCCCCUCACAUACUAGCAAGGGAUUACGGUGUGGUUUCUGCCUUUGCAACUGCUGCUUUCACUCUGGGUCUUAGGAAGAUACCACCAUAGUGCCCAGUAUCAAAUUUGGGUCUUUGACCAUCCAGGCAGACUGGGAAGCAGUGCAAGGAGUUCCUGCCCGUCCCUGCCCCGAGCACCUGCAAUGACUGGCCUCCUUUUACCGAGCCAAGGGAGUCAAGAGCUCUAGGAGGAAGAAGGAGGUGUAGGCUCAGCCAGCCCAACCCAGGGCCCCGAGGGGGUAAGGGCUAAGUCCACAGAGGCAUUACUGUGGAGCCAACUUGCAGGAAAGGCACCCCUGGUUCUAGUUCUCAGCUCACAGAGGUAAUUGGCUGCAAGGGAGAGUUGAGCUAGAGCAUGAGUGGCCAGGACCAGCUCCUCCACGGCACAGGAACCAAGUGUGACAGCACCAGAGCAAGGAUGAGGUCACCCUGGUCCCAGUGUCUGCUCUGCAAAUCCCUCCCCUCCCCGGCCUCCAUGUCCUCAUCUGUGAAAUUUGGAGGUGAAAUCUGGCAAGCUCAAUGCUGCCUUCUAUUUGUGAGUCUAUCUGCUCUAUUUGUGAUUCUGAGUUCUCUUGUAACACAACUCAAUGACAGACCAAGCAAGCAUGGUUUUUUUUGUUGUUGUCGUUAGACUCAUUUUAUAUUCUUUUCUGCAUACCCUGCCUUAUUCUGAAAAUCAUUAAGGUAGCUUUGAAAAUGAAAACAGUGUAGCAAAACCAAAGUUAAUUUAAAAUGAGUUAAGGGUACACCAUUUAGGAAUGAGUCAAGCGUGAGGUUAGUACAACUGUCUGACAUUCACCAGCCAAGACCAGCAGUCCAAGAGCUACUCGUGUGCUCCUGCAGCUUUGGAAUGACAUUCCACCGGCAAACUCCCUCGAGAGCACCAGGAAGGAGAACCCUGUUUUAUCACUGAAACAAACAGGACCCGGAGGGGAGGUGACUGCCGAGAUCCCAGGGUGAGCACGGGCUGGAGUAAGGCUCAGGAGAUUUGUGUGGCAUUCUGAAGCCUGCCAGAUGCUCUGCAGGGCAGAGUGAUGGGAGCCCAGCUGUUGUCUGUGACCCAGGCAUCUUGGGGUGUUAUCUUCCCGACCUCACCUCAACCCAGCCCCUGCCAGCACUCAGCUCCCACAUAUAAGUGUACAGCUCUCUCCCUGCCCUGGGAGCAUCUCCCUGUGCCUGUAGCUGUGGUCCCUGAAGACAGGCAAAGCAGGAAUGGAGGGUUCUUUAGAGUGAGAUUAUCCAUUUUGCUUUAGAGAAAAUGCUUUCUUCAGUCCUGUUGAAAAUAACAAAGCCAGGUCUGAUUUUUAAAAGUAGAAAGCUUGUCUCACCAAUACUUGGCUUCUGUGGUUUUCUCUCCUUUACUGCUAUGGAGACUGGCAGGGAUCGGGAAAGAAGGCAGCGGCUGGAGAAGCAGGAUGUUGUGUGCAGCAUAAAGGAUGAUGGGGUACUGCCGGCCUGCAGAGCCCGUUCUGUUCCCCUGGUCCUGCCCUGCUGUGUCUGCCCAUCAGAGGCCAUGAGUCAGGUGAUACACCACUGCUCAACCUUGCUGGGACAUAGAAGGAUGGUGGGGACGCCGUGGAGUGGAGCCCAAGGGAUUGCCCUCUCUCUUAGUUUCCCGAAGGCCAGCUGGGAGUGACUCUGGUAUAGCACUCAGGUUGCUGAGGUGGAAAAAACACUGGACCAGAGAUCACAUCAGCUGGUCAAAUGUCGGCUCUUGUAUUCUUUACCUUCAUGACCUUCAACACUCAGUGAAACCCUCUGGGCCCUGUUCCUCACGGGCAACAGUAAGUGGGAAGGGAGUGCUCCAGCCAGUCCCAGUGGUGUUCAGCACACUAUAGGGCAGCACAACCGAUGAGGUCAGGGCCAGUCCUGCCACUUGCGUGUUUUGGCCUGGUCCCUGGGCCUCUCUAAGUCCCACUUUUCCCAGGGAAAAAGAGAGGAUUUCAUGUCAUAAUCCCUUGAGCCCUUUUGAGUUGAAAUCAUCUCAUUCUGUCUCCUGCACGGUAUCUCAGGCCAUAUGACUGGACACAGGGAAAGGCCCUUGAGGGCAGCCGGCCCAGUGGUCCUCCACGCUGUACCUGUCCUGCCACGGCUGCCGGCAUGUGGGCUGGGGUCUUAGCUGCAACAAGCCUGUUAGAAGCCAUGGCCCCCUGUGUGCUGUGCUGCAGUCCGCCCGCACCUCAGGGCUCCCGCCUAGACUCUGCGCUUGGCAGCACACUUGCUGUGGGAGAAAUUCCAGCUCUUCUUGUGGAGAAAGCGCAAGCAUUCUUUCUCUCCAAGUCAUGAGACUUCUCGCUCGGAAUUCCGGGUUGUCCCAUGGUAGCAAAUUAUUUUACGUAACAACGGAAACUCUGUUUUCAAAAGAGUUUCAUGAGGCUUGGGACGUGCUCAGCAUUCUGCCUGUGAGUCAGAGCCGAUAGCUGGGCUUGGAGCAGGACCAGGGUCGAAUAAUCCUUCCCUUUCAGCUUCUCGGGCGCUUCUUCACAUGGCGCUCGAAGGGGCAGGAUGUGGGUCUGUAACUACACUCACCACCAUUUCCAUAAAUCAAGGGGCCUUCCUUCCUGAGCCGCUCUGUGCAGUCCCAGGACUGCCUGUCCGGCUGUGAUACCAGCUUUUGUUUACCUACAAUUUUAUCACUUUCCAAAGAGUUUUUCAUCCCAACUACUUUCUUGAGAAUUUGUGAAGCAGAGAGACUAAUUAAAGCGUCAAAGCACUGAUAACAGCGAAGUGAAAAUGAUGCUCUGCUCAAGUCCGCUCCCUUUAGGUUGGGGAAAAAACCCUCAGCCUUUUUCUUUCCUCCCUCCCUCCCUUCCUUUUUUUUUUUUUUUUUUUUUUCUUUAUCUUCUUAAGAAGAAGACUAUGGUAGCCCAAACAGGACUGGGUUGGCUUGUCUGUUACUAGAAAUUUUUCUAAUUCAGUUGUUAGUUGAGCAAGAAAGGAAUGAGAGAGGUAAAGAUGAGAGCAGAUAGGAUUAAUCUUGGGGGCCAAUUUGCCAGAUCCUGUGGGAGUCUGUCCCCAGAAGGAGUCAGCGUUGCUCAGGACUAGCAGAAGGAACAACGCACAUGGGGUGGGAAGGUGCUGAUGGAAGAAGGCGGGAAACAGGUGGCUGUGGAGAGCAGCUUUACC